GGUCUAUUAUACAGGUCUAAUAUACAGGUCUAAUAUACAGGUCUAAUACACAGGUCUAAUACACAGGUCUAUUAUACAGGUCUGAUAUACAGGUCUAAUAUACAGGUCUAAUAUACAGGUCUAAUAUACAGGUCUAUUAUACAGGUCUAAUAUACAGGUCAGUUCAGUGAAUAAUGAUGAAUAUUGUUCCUACAGCUGGACGGAGGAAUUGAACCAGUUAUGGGUCUGGAGAAACAAGGGGUCAUUUAUACACACCAGGCUGUCAAUCAGGAUUAUGAUGAAUACGGUAAAGACAAGAAGGUGAACAAAGGUCACUUGUUUCCUAAAUCUUUUGCUCACCAACCUGUAAAUCAGGACUCCACCUUUACCCUGACAAACGCUGUUCCUCAAGUAAAGACAUUUAAUGAAGGUAGCUGGGGAAAGAUGGAGUGUACGGUUAGAAAGAUACUCCUGAAGCAAUGCCUUGAUAAUAAUGGUCAACCCAAGGCCUAUGUGUUGACUGGAGCAGUUCCCAGUGUCAACAACAAACUGAACAACCGAGUGAACAUCCCAGAUCUCCUGUGGACAGCCUACUGCUGUUACAACAGCAAGAAGAAAGAGUGGAUGGCCAAAGCACACUGGGGUGAGAA